rnacentral:rRNA from 1 species
UACGUAGGGUGCAAGCGUUGUCCGGAAUUACUGGGCGUAAAGCGUGCGUAGACGGUCAUGUAAGUCGGGUGUGAAAGCCCCGGGCUCAACCUGGGAAUUGCAUUCGAGACUGCAUGGCUAGGGUGCGGAAGAGGGAAGCGGAAUUUCCGGUGUAGCGGUGAAAUGCGUAGAUAUCGGAAGGAACACCAGUGGCGAAAGCGGCUUCCUGGUCCAGCACCGACGUUCAGGCACGAAAGCGUGGGGAGCAAACAGG